rnacentral:rRNA from 1 species
UUGUCGAAACCUGCAUAGCAGAACAACUUGUGAACAUGUAACAACAGUCGGGUGUCCUUGGUCUUGUUUGAUUAAUUGGAUGCCUUGUCGACGUGCGUAUUUGGUUAACCUUUUGGGUCCUAAGUAUGUCACAUUGGCGUAAUAACAACCCCCGGCACGACAUGUGCCAAGGAAAAAUAUACAUAAAAAGGGCUUGUACCAUGCUUCCCCGUUUGCGGGGAUGGAAUGGGAUGCGGCUUCUUUAUAAUCACAAACGACUCUCGGCAACGGAUAUCUCGGCUCACGCAUCGAUGAAGAACGUAGCAAAAUGCGAUACUUGGUGUGAAUUGCAGAAUCCCGUGAACCAUCGAGUUUUUGAACGCAAGUUGCGCCCGAAGCCUUUCGGUUGAGGGCACGUCUGCCUGGGCGUCACACAUCUCGUCGCCCCCACCAAGCCUCCUCGACGAGGAUGUUUGGUUGCGGGCGGAGACUGGUCUCCCGUUCCUAUGGUGCGGUUGGCUAAAAUUUGAGUCCCCUACGACGGACGCACGAUUAGUGGUGGUUGACAAUACCCUUUUAUCAAGUCGUGUGUUCCAAGGAGUAAGGAAGAUGACCUAAAUGACCCUAACAUGUCGUCUUGUGACGAUGCUCGACCGCGACCCCA